GACGAACGCUGGCGGCGUGCUUAACACAUGCAAGUCGAGCGGUAAGGCCCUUUCGGGGUACGACGAGCGGCGAACGGGUGAGUAACACGUGGGUGACCUGCCCUCAGCUCUGGGAUAAGCCUGGGAAACCGGGUCUAAUACCGGAUAUGACUCCAUGACGCAUGUUGUGGGGUGGAAAGCCUUGUGCGGCUGAGGAUGGGCCCGCGGCCUAUCAGCUUGUUGGUGGGGUGAUGGCCUACCAAGGCGACGACGGGUAGCCGGCCUGAGAGGGCGACCGGCCACACUGGGACUGAGACACGGCCCAGACUCCUACGGGA
rnacentral:rRNA from 1 species